rnacentral:rRNA from 1 species
UGGACGCCAGUCUGCGUGGAGCCAACCUUGAAAUACCACCCUUUAAUGUUUGAUGUUCUAACGUUGGCCCCUGACCGGGGUUGCGGACAGUGUCUGGUGGGUAGUUUGACUGGGGCGGUCUCCUCCCAAAGCGUAACGGAGGAGCACGAAGGUUAGCUAAUCCUGGUCGGACAUCAGGAGGUUAGUGCAAUGGCAUAAGCUAGCUUGACUGCGAGCGUGACGGCGCGAGCAGGUGCGAAAGCAGGUCAUAGUGAUCCGGUGGUUCUGAAUGGAAGGGCCAUCGCUCAACGGAUAAAAGGUACUCCGGGGAUAACAGGCUGAUACCGCCCAAGAGUUCAUAUCGACGGCGGUGUUUGGCACCUCGAUGUCGGCUCAUCACAUCCUGGGGCUGAAGUAGGUCCCAAGGGUAUGGCUGUUCGCCAUUUAAAGUGGUACGCGAGCUGGGUUUAGAACGUCGUGAGACAGUUCGGUCCCUAUCUGCCGUGGGCGCUGGAGAAUUGAGGGGGGCUGCUCCUAGUACGAGAGGACCGGAGUGGACGCAUCACUGGUGUUCGGGUUGUCAUGCCAAUGGCACUGCCCGGUAGCUAAAUGCGGAAGAGAUAAGUGCUGAAAGCAUCUAAGCACGAAACUUGCCCCGAGAUGAGUUCUCCCUGAGACUUUAAGUCUCCUGAAGGAACGUU